UCGGACUGCAGGUUGCAACCCGCCUGCACGAAGCCGGAGUUGCUAGUAAUCGCGGAUCAGCAUGCCGCGGUGAAUACGUUCCCGGGCCUUGUACACACCGCCCGUCACACCAUGGGAGUUGGAAAUGCCCGAAGCCAGUGACCCAACCGUAAGGAGGGAGCUGUCGAAGGUGGAGCCGAUGACUGGGGGUGAAGUCGUAACAAGGUAAC
rnacentral:rRNA from 1 species